UACGUAGGUGGCAAGCGUUGUCCGGAUUUAUUGGGCGUAAAGGGAGCGCAGGCGGUGACUUAAGUCUGAUGUGAAAGCCCACGGCUCAACCGUGGAAGGUCAUUGGAAACUGUACAGCUUGAGUGUCGGAGAGGUAAGCGGAAUUCCUAGUGUAGCGGUGAAAUGCGUAGAUAUUAGGAGGAACACCGGUGGCGAAGGCGGCUUACUGGACUGUAACUGACGCUGAGUCACGAAAGCGUGGGUAGCAAACAGGAUUAGAUACCCGGGUAGUCCCUGA
rnacentral:rRNA from 1 species